ACGGAGGGUCCAAGCGUUAUCCGGAAUCAUUGGGUUUAAAGGGUCCGUAGGCGGCCAAAUAAGUCAGUGGUGAAAGCCCAUCGCUCAACGAUGGAACGGCCAUUGAUACUGUUUGGCUUGAAUUAUUAGGAAGUAACUAGAAUAUGUAGUGUAGCGGUGAAAUGCUUAGAGAUUACAUGGAAUACCAAUUGCGAAGGCAGGUUACUACUAAUAUAUUGACGCUGAUGGACGAAAGCGUGGGGAGCGAACAGG
rnacentral:rRNA from 1 species